rnacentral:lncRNA from 1 species
UUGGUUGGCCCUGACUUCCUCCUCCCUCCUCCCUCCUCUCUCCCUCCCUGCAUCUCUCAAGCCUUGAUCAUUAUUCGACACCACCCAUCUCUCCUGCUCUCUCUGUUUCUCUCCUCCUUCCUCCUUCUGUCUCCCCACCUCUCUUCUCUGCUCCGCUUUGCUCCUGCCAGGAGAAAUGAUGAUGAUGAUGAUGUUAUACUGAGACCAGCCAAUGGUGAAACGGGAAGCAAGGAGAAUGGGUGUGUCCAGAGGCCAGGCUCGGAGCUGUUCGAUGCUGAGGAGGCUGAAGAGGAAGCACGGGAGGACUCCAUCAACAACAACUCUUUGGGCAAGAAGGACAGUUGGAAGGAGGCCCACUCCUCCUCCCCACACAUAACAGGUACGGCCACAACAUCGUCUCUCCAGGUCUUUGAUUCAUGAUGAGUAAUGUGGUUCUACUGGCACAAAGCGAUAAAUGACAGAAUCAUUUAUUCUAAAUCCCUCUAAAGGUUGGAGGCUGUGAUAAUGACAGCGAGUGUUUUCACUUUCAUCCUGAUGUCCCUCUGAACCAGUUCAGUCAUCUUCUACUUGUGCUUUCACUGACUCUCAGUAAAGUAUUGCGCUUACUGUAGAUGCUUUACUCUUGUCAAUAAACCUGGUCGCUGUAGAUUUUUAAUUCUGUUU